GCUGUGACCCCCUCAUGUCAAAGUGAAAAAAUUUGAUAAAGCGGGGGUAAACGGCGGGACAUAAGAGUCUCUUGAGGUAGCCAAAUGCCUCGUCAUAGUGACGUACAUGAAU
rnacentral:ncRNA from 1 species